CUACCGGAAGCUGCUGGAGGGAGAGGAGAGCCGGAUCAAUCUCCCCAUCCAGACCUACUCUGCCCUCAACUUCCGAGAAACCAGCCCUGAGCAAAGGGGUUCUGAGGUCCAUACCAAGAAGACGGUGAUGAUCAAGACCAUCGAGACACGGGAUGGGGAGGUAACAGCAGCAUGAAGUGCUCUAAAGACAGAGACCCUCUGCCACCAGAGACCGUCCUCACCCCUGUCCUCACUGCUCCCUGAAGCCAGCCUUCUUCCAUCCCAGGACACCACACCCAGCCUCAGUCCUCCCCUCACAGCCUCUGACCCCUCCUCACUGGCCAUCCCUCGUGGUCCCCAACAGCGACAUAGCCCAUCCCUGCCUGGUCACAGGGCAUGCCCCGGCCACCUCUGCGGACCCCAGCUGUGAGCCUUGGCUGUUGGCAGUGAGUGAGCCUGGCUCUUGUGCUGGAUGGAGCCCAGGCGGGAGCGGUGGCCCUGUCCCUCCCACCUCUGUGACCUCAGGCACUAGCCUUUGGCUCUGGAGACAGCCCCAGAGCAGGGUGUUGGGAUACUGCAGGGCCAGGACUGAGCCCCGCAGACCUCCCCAGCCCCUAGCCCAGGAGAGAGAAAGCCAGGCAGGUAGCCAGGGGGACUAGCCCCUGUGGAGACUGGGGGGCUUGAAAUUGUCCCCGUGGUCUCUUACUUUCCUUUCCCCAGCCCAGGGUGGACUUAGAAAGCAGGGGCUACAAGAGG
rnacentral:lncRNA from 1 species